rnacentral:rRNA from 1 species
UACGGAGGGUGCGAGCGUUGUCCGGAAUCACUGGGCGUAAAGGGCGCGUAGGUGGCGCGAGUAGUCAACGGUGAAAGCCCGGGGCUCAACCCCGGGUCGGCCGUGCGGACUGGCGUGCUCGAGCACUGUAGGGGCGGGUGGAAUUCCGGGUGUAGCGGUGGAAUGCGUAGAGAUCCGGAAGAACACCGGUGGCGAAGGCGGCCCGCUGGGCAGGAAGACACCGCAAGGUGUCGGCUGACGCUGAGGCGCGACAGCGUGGGGAGCAAACAGG